UACAGAGGGGGCAAGCGUUAUUCGGAAUUAUUGGGCGUAAAGGGCGCGUAGGCGGCCUGACAAGUGGAAGGUGAAAUCCCUCGGCUUAACCGAGGAACUGCCCUCCAAACUGUCUGGCUUGAGACCGGGAGAGGUGAGUGGAAUUCCAGGUGUAGCGGUGAAAUGCGUAGAUAUCUGGAGGAACACCGGUGGCGAAGGCGGCAUCCUGGACCGGCAUUGACGCUAAAGCGCGAAAGCCAGGGGAGCAAACGGG
rnacentral:rRNA from 1 species